rnacentral:rRNA from 1 species
CUACGUGCCAGCAGCCGCGGUAAUACGGAAGGUCCGGGCGUUAUCCGGAUUUAUUGGGUUUAAAGGGAGCGUAGGCCGGAGAUUAAGUGUGUUGUGAAAUGUAGACGCUCAACGUCUGACUUGCAGCGCAUACUAGUUUCCUUGAGUACGCACAACGUUGGCGGAAUUCGUCGUGUAGCGGUGAAAUGCUUAGAUAUGACGAAGAACUCCGAUUGCGAAGGCAGCUGACGGGAGCGCAACUGACGCUUAAGCUCGAAGGUGCGGGUAUCGAACAGGAUUAGAUACCCUGGUAGUCCGCACAGUAAACGAUGGAUGCCCGCUGUUGGUACCUGGUAUCAGCGGCUAAGCGAAAGCAUUAAGCAUCCCACCUGGGGAGUACGCCGGCAACGGUGAAACUCAAAGGAAUUGACGGGGGCCCGCACAAGCGGAGGAACAUGUGGUUUAAUUCGAUGAUACGCGAGGAACCUUACCCGGGCUUGAA